rnacentral:lncRNA from 1 species
AUGGGGGGUUGGUUCUUUGGGUUUUGUUUUCUGUUGGUUUAUGUGUUUAAUUUAAUGAUUUGUAAAGUGAUGUUCCUCUUCCUUUUUUACACUUUUCAGCUCAUAUUUAACCUCUGUUUGGAAAAUGAUUCUUGUAACUGUACAUUUUUUUGCCUCCUAACAACACGAAUAAAUGACCAGUUUUGUGUCGGGGGGGUGUACGGGGCUGGUUAUUUGUCCGUUAGAUGCCACGGAAUGACUGGCUGGCCCGCACACUGGGCACAAACAGCCACGGAGAGGGAGGCACGCGCUCACACCGGGCACACAAUGGCACUUCACACAGCAGCCUCCCGCACGUGUGCCGGGCCUCGCCGGGCCUCCUUCUCCCUCCCUCGUCAGACUCGCAUGCGGUCGGCUCUGAGCUUCCAGCUGCCAAGUGGAGCUAAGGAGGAAGUCUGUUUAAGGACCUGCCUGGGGCUGGGGUCAGCGUGGCGGGAGUGUGGGGCUGCAUCCCGAUGUGUGCGGGGGGGGGCUGCCCCUCCCUCGAGUCAUUCAGAGCCCUACCUGCAGCCACAGCGAAUUGUCCUCCAGGGGGCGGUGCCGGGCCUGCAGAGCCUGACGGCUUCCCCCCUUCCCUGCUUCUCUGUUGGUGUCGGUGCCACCGGUUUCUUGGGAGAGAGGCCGUACCCUUGUUCCUCUGCCCAAUUCCAGUCCUUUCCCUACUUGACCCCAGCCUUCAGAGCUGGUCCCCCCUCCUCCUUGCCCACAGCUGCGGCUUCUGAGCCUUGCAGGCCCAGCUUACCCAAAUCCGGGGCCAUCUUGACCCACUUUCGCAGGAAAGCCCCGCCUCUCCCCUGCUCCGCCCCCUUCAGCCUCCCGUCCCCCUGGAGAAUAGAGCAGGCCCCUACGGCAGCUCUGUUUUCUCGUCCUCUAGUCCUGCCUCUGCAGGAAGUCGCUUCUAGUCACUCUGCAGGAAGAAGGAGGCAUGGUUCCCUUAGAUGUGGGAGCAGGGAUCCCAGGGCUUUGGCCUCAAGGGUCCUGGGCCUGCCCUAUUGGCUCUGA